rnacentral:rRNA from 1 species
AACGUAGGUGGCAAGCGUUAUCCGGAAUUACUGGGCGUAAAGGGUGUGCAGGCGGGGCUGCAAGGGGGGUAUGAAAUCUCCCAGCUUAACUGGGAUAGGUUAUGCCAGACUGCAGUUCUAGAGGACGAGAGAGGGGGGUGGAAUUCCGGGUGUAGUGGUGAAAUGCGUAGAGAUCCGGAGGAACCCCAGAGGCGAAGGCGGCCCCCUGGCUCGUACCUGACGCUCAGCCACGAAAGCAUGGGGAGCGAACGGG